CCCUAUAGAUCUUUAUAAUUUGUUUGUUAUAGUUAUAUAGAUUAUUUAAAUUAUGAUUUUAUAAGUUAUUUUGUUGGGGUGACAUUAAAAUUUAAUGAACUUUUAAUAAAUUUUUACAUUAAUUUAUGAAUAAUUGAUCCAUUAUUAGUGAUUAUAAAAUUAAGUUACCUUAGGGAUAACAGCGUAAUUUUUUUGAAGAGUUCAUAUCGAUAAAAAAGAUUGCGACCUCGAUGUUGGAUUAAGAUAUAAUUUUGGUGCAGCAAUUC
rnacentral:rRNA from 1 species